GCCUCGUUGCCUCUUCACUUUGUUUGGUUUCAUUCUCAGUCCAUGUUGAUGUGUACUUGCACGUUUUCCUUCACAUGGUUUCUCUCUUCCACAUAGGCAGCGAUGGUUGAAUAUCUUUUGGGAAAAAGAGAAGAAUCUCUUGGAAAUGCAUUCCCAGAUGUGGAGGUCCCAUUGUCUCAUUAAUUGCUGGCGUGUUAUCAAAUUGGGAAACAGCUGGACUGCAAUUAGGCGGUGUUUGGUUCAAAAACUCCCCCGGAGAACACGUCGUGUGUCCUGAUGGCCUUUUGAAGAGACCAGAGACACUCGCCCGCUUUGAACUUUGACAGAUGAAACUCCACAUCAUCGGGAGGAAACCUAUGACUAUUUAUGAG